rnacentral:rRNA from 1 species
CACGUAGGCACCAAGCGUUGUCCGGAUUUAUUGGGCGUAAAGAGCUCGUAGGCGGUUCAGUAAGUCGGGUGUGAAAACUUUGGGCUUAACCCAAAGCGUGCAUCCGAUACUGCUGUGACUUGAGUUCGGUAGGGGAGUGGGGAAUUCCUAGUGUAGCGGUGAAAUGCGCAGAUAUUAGGAGGAACACCGGUGGCGAAGGCGCCACUCUGGGCCGAAACUGACGCUGAGGAGCGAAAGCAUGGGUAGCAAACAGGGAUUAAGAAACCCCAGU